rfam:Modestobacter sp. KNN45-2b asc16_sequence_0024, whole genome shotgun sequence.
CGAGUCGGCUGGGCGGUCGCGUCGGUGGGGGAGACCCUGCCGCCGAGGAACGUCCGGGCUCCACAGGGCAGGGUGGUCGUCAACAGCGACCCGGGGUGACCCGCGGGACAGUGCCACAGAGAACAGACCGCCAGUGCGUGCACUGGUAAGGGUGAAACGGCGGUGUAAGAGACCACCGCACACCGGGUGACCGGUGUGGCUCGGUAAACCCCACCCGGAGCAAGGUCGAAAAGGGACGGCGGUCCGCCGCCGUCCUGCGCAGGCGUUCGAGGGCUGCCCGCCCGAGCCUGCGGGUGGACCGCUCGAGCCUGUCGGCAACGGCAGGCCUAGAUGGAUGGCCGCUCAUCGGGACGCCGCGAGGCGCCCGGGGACAGAACCCGGCGUACAGGUCGACUCGUCCG